rnacentral:rRNA from 1 species
GACGAACGCUGGCGGCGUGCUUAACACAUGCAAGUCGAGCGGUAAGGCCCUUUCGGGGGUACACGAGCGGCGAACGGGUGAGUAACACGUGGGUGACCUGCCCUCAGCUCUGGGAUAAGCCCGGGAAACUGGGUCUAAUACUGGAUAUGACUCCAUGACGCAUGUUGUGGGUGGAAAGCCUUGUGCGGCUGAGGAUGGGCCCGNGGCCUAUCAGCUUGUUGGUGGGGNAUGGCCUACCAAGGCGACGACGGGUAGCCGGCCUGAGAGGCGACGGCCACACUGGACUGAGACACGGCCCAGACUCCUACGGGAGGCAGCAGUGGGGAAUCUUGCGCAAUGGCGAAAGCCUGACGCAGCGACGCCGCGUGAGGGAUGACGGCC